UCGGCUUAGAGUUUGAUCAUGGCUCAGGACGAACGCUGGCGGCGUGCCUAACACAUGCAAGUCGAACGGGAAGCCUUCGGGUGGACGAGUGGCGGACGGGUGAGUAACGCGUGAGUAACCUGCCCUAAAGUGGGGAAUAACAAUGAGAAAUCAUUGCUAAUACCGCAUAAGACCACAGCCGCAUGGCCAGAGGUAAAAGAUUUAUCGCUUUAGGAUGGACUCGCGUCCCAUUAGCUAGUUGGUAGGGUAAUAGCCUACCAAGGCCACGAUGGGUAGCCGGACUGAGAGGUCGAUCGGCCACACUGGGACUGAGACACGGCCCAGACUCCUACGGGAGGCAGCAGUGGGGAAUAUUGGGCAAUGGGCGCAAGCCUGACCCAGCAACGCCGCGUGAAGGAAGAAGGUCUUCGGAUUGUAAACUUCUGUCCUUGGGGACGAAAAAAAUGACGGUACCCAAGGAGGAAGCUCCGGCUAACUACGUGCCAGCAGCCGCGGUAAUACGUAGGGAGCGAGCGUUGUCCGGAAUUACUGGGCGUAAAGGGAGCGUAGCGGCUCGACAAGUCAGAUGUGAAAUACCCGGGCUUAACCUGGGGGGUGCAUCUGAAACUAUCAAGCUUGAGUGUGGGAGAGGUAAGUGGAAUUCCUAGUGUAGCGGUGGAAUGCGUA
rnacentral:rRNA from 1 species